rnacentral:sRNA from 1 species
UGUAAGUUUGAAAUUAUUCUUCAAUAUUAAGUUAAAAUUUUUUUUUUAAAUCUUGGCCAAAUAAAUGAUUGUUUUUCAAAUGAAUAUUUUUUAUUUUACAUCCUUUCUUUUCCUGUUCUCUUACUUCUUUUCUUCCUUUUUUGUGUCCCUUCUUUUAGAAGUCCAAGGCUUGCGAGAAGGUCAUUUCCGUGGGUCAAACGGUCAUCACGAAGCAUCGGAACACCCGGUAUUACAGUUGCAGAGUGAUGGCUGUGACAUCGCAGACCUUCUAUGAGGUCAUGUUUGAUGAUGGCUCCUUCAGCAGAGACACAUUUCCUGAGGAUAUCGUGAGCCGAGACUGUCUGAAGCUGGGCCCACCUGCCGAGGGAGAAGUCGUCCAAGUCAAGUGGCCUGAUGGCAAACUCUAUGGAGCAAAAUAUUUUGGAUCAAAUAUUGCCCACAUGUACCAGGUUGAGUUUGAAGAUGGAUCCCAGAUAGCAAUGAAGAGAGAGGACAUCUACACGUUAGAUGAAGAGUUACCCAAGAGAGUGAAAGCU